AGUGAACGCUGGCGGUAGGCCUAACACAUGCAAGUCGAACGGCAGCACAGUAAGAGCUUGCUCUUACGGGUGGCGAGUGGCGGACGGGUGAGGAAUACAUCGGAAUCUACUUUUUCGUGGGGGAUAACGUAGGGAAACUUACGCUAAUACCGCAUACGUCCUACGGGUGAAAGCAGGGGAUCUUCGGACCUUGCGCGAUUGAAUGAGCCGAUGUCGGAUUAGCUAGUUGGCGGGGUAAAGGCCCACCAAGGCGACGAUCCGUAGCUGGUCUGAGAGGAUGAUCAGCCACACUGGAACUGAGACACGGUCCAGACUCCUACGGGAGGCAGCAGUGGGGAAUAUUGGACAAUGGGCGCAAGCCUGAUCCAGCCAUACCGCGUGGGUGAAGAAGGCCUUCGGGUUGUAAGGCCCUUUUGUUGGGAAAGAAAAGCAGCAGGUUAAUACCCCGCUGUUCUGACGGUACCCAAAGAAUAAGCACCGGCUAACUUCGU
rnacentral:rRNA from 1 species